UCCGGAUCCAUUUUUGUGGGCAAACACUUUCAAAAUUUUCCCACGCUUUGUUUCAAUCAUAGCUACAUACAAACCCAUUUUUUUUUUCUCACCAGUCAAACAGGACAUGUUCAUCAAAUUGAACAGAACUGAGGUGAUGUUCUUAUGUUUGUGAUGUGAGAAGCAAACUUCGCGGCUUUGGUGAUCAGGCCUUAGGAUAUUGAUUUUGCCAUCAUGGAGACUGAAAAUGAACUAGAGCCCAAAGAAGGAUUGACAAUAAUGCUUCCUCCACCACCUGGAACUUUCCAAGACCGUGAAGACCUCAUUAAACAUGUGCGUGACUUUGGUGCCAAUGAAGGAUAUGUUGUGACCAUCAAGA